rnacentral:lncRNA from 1 species
GGGGACUAUGAAACUUUGUGAUGAGAAGCAAGCUUCUGGGUUCUCUGGCUGCCUAACAUUUAUGCCUUUCAGAUCCUGCAGGAUAAAGCUCACAGAAAGACUUUAUUCCCAUUGCAUUCACAUGCAAAAACCUGUCAGGCAGCGAAAAAGGAAAUAUCACCACCAUGCCUCGCUGCUGAGGAGAACAGAGGCCAAGGACUCACCUUACAGAUGAGAGAGGAAAGGACCACCCUAAAUCUCCUGGCCAGGAGGUGGGACUCUGGGUAUGGCAUCGGAGGAUCUACAGCAUGCCCUUCCUGGCCACCAGCUGCCGGGGCUUGAGUUACAACACAACAGCCUUGCCAAGUUUUAAAUAAAUUGGAUUUAAAAUGGCACAAAGCAAAUGCUAUUUUGACUAUGACAAUGAUAAUUAAAAUCCUUCAAAUUCAAGGAACUUAGGAGAGAACUUCCGAGUGCAAGACUGCAUAGGGAAAUAUAAAGAUGUGAAGAGAUGGCC